rnacentral:lncRNA from 1 species
CUGUCCCUGCCUCACCCCCCAAUUACGUCCAACCCGCAAUCACACUGACAGACGUACUGGCACAUACACACACAGACAGACAUUAAAACAUUCACAGAUACAUAUUGACACACACAGUCACUACACACAAAUAUAUACUGGCAGACAUACUGACACACACACAGACAUACAUACAUACAUACAUACAUACAUACAUACACAGACACAUACAUUAACAGAUAUACUGCCACACACACAAACACAUACACUGACAGAUAUACUAAAACACACAGACACAUACACUGACAGGCACAUUGACACACACACACAGGCAUAAUGACAUAUACACACACACACACACACACACACAGGCAUACUGACAUAUACACAGACAGACGUAAUGGCUGAUACAGACAGACAUUAAACAUUCACAGAUAUAUACUGACACACACAUACGCUGACAUACAAAUAUAUCCUGGCAGACAUACUGACACACACACAGACAUACAUACAUACACACAGACACAUACACUGACAGACAUACUGACUGACACACACAUACACAGACAUACU